rnacentral:rRNA from 1 species
ACACGUAAUACAAUGGCACUUAACCAGAGGGAAGCAAUGCCGCGAGGUGGAGCAAAUCCCCAAAAAGUGUCUCAGUUCGGAUUGCAGGCUGCAACUCGCCUGCAUGAAGUCGGAAUUGCUAGUAAUCGCGGAUCAGCACGCCGCGGUGAAUACGUUCCCGGGCCUUGUACACACCGCCCGUCACANCCAUGAGAGUCAGCAACANCCCGAAGUCAGUAGCCUAANCCAAUAAUGGANGGGCGCUGCCGAANGGUGGGGGUUGAUGANUUAGGGGUGAAUGUCGU